rnacentral:rRNA from 1 species
AUGUGGUUUAAUUCGAUGAUACGCGAGGAACCUUACCUGGGCUCAAAUGUAUGUUGACGUAUUCUGAAAGGGAUACUUCUUCGGACAAUAUACAAGGUGCUGCAUGGUUGUCGUCAGCUCGUGCCGUGAGGUGUCGGGUUAAGUCCCAUAACGAGCGCAACCCCUAUCAUUAGUUGCCAUCAGGUCAAGCUGGGGACUCUAAUGAAACUGCCUACGCAAGUAGUGAGAAGGUGGGGAUGACGUCAAAUCAGCACGGCCCUUACGUCCAGGGCUACACACGUGCUACAAUGGCCGGUACAAAGGGCAGCUACCUGGUGACAGGAUGCUAAUCUCAAAAGCCGGUCUCAGUUCGGAUCGGAGUCUGCAACCCGACUCCGUGAAGCUGGUAUCGCUAGUAAUCGCGCAUCAGCCAUGGCGCGGUGAAUACGUUCCCGGGCCUU